GACUGUACAAAGGUAGCAUAAUAAUUUGUCUUUUAAUUGAAGGCUGGUAUGAAUGGUUGGAUGAGAAAUAUACUUUCUUUAUUUUAUAUAAAAAAAUUGAUUUUUUAGUUAAAAAGCUAAAAUAUUUUUAUAGGACGAGAAGACCCUAUAGAACUUUACUUUGAUAUAAAUAUACUAUUUAUAUAUUUUUAAAAUUUUAUAUUUUUAUUAAAGUUUUGUUGGGGUGACAAAAAAAAUUAAAUAACUUUUUUUUAUUAAAUCAUUAAUUUAUGUUUUUUUGAUCCUUUAUUAUGGAAAAUAAGAUUAAGUUACCUUAGGGAUAACAGCGUUAUUUUUUUGGAGAGUUCAUAUUGAUAAAGAAGUUUGCGACCUCGAUGUUGGAUUAAAAUAAGUUACAGGGGUAUAAUAUUGUAUACUAGGUCUGUUCGACCUUUAAAUUUUUACA
rnacentral:rRNA from 1 species